rnacentral:rRNA from 1 species
UACAGAGGGUGCGAGCGUUAAUCGGAAUUACUGGGCGUAAAGCGUGCGUAGACGGCUAUCUAAGUCGGGUGUGAAAGCCCCGGGCUCAACCUGGGAAUUGCAUUCGAGACUGAAUAGCUAGGGUACGGUAGAGGGAAGUGGAAUUUCCGGUGUAGCGGUGAAAUGCGUAGAGAUCGGAAAGAACACCAACGGCGAAAGCACUCUGCUGGGCCGACACUGACACUGAGAGACGAAAGCUAGGGGAGCGAAUGGG